rnacentral:rRNA from 1 species
UACGUAGGGUGCGAGCGUUAAUCGGAAUUACUGGGCGUAAAGCGUGCGCAGGCGGUUCGUUAAGUUCGUUGUGAAAGCCCCGGGCUCAACCUGGGAAUGGCGAUGGAUACUGGCGGGCUAGAGUGCGGUAGAGGAGAGUGGAAUUCCCGGUGUAGCAGUGAAAUGCGUAGAGAUCGGGAGGAACAUCAGUUGCGAAGGCGGCUCUCUGGACCAGCACUGACACUGAGGCACGAAAGCGUGGGGAGCAAACAGG